CAGCAGUUGUCAGCAGCACUUCCCAACAUUGGAAAUCAUGUUGUUAUUAAUCAGAAGUUGAGCGGAUUUGGUAUGCACUUUCCAUUUCAGAGAGUGGUACCACUUGCCAUGGACAGAGCUAUCAAGGAGAUUGUGUCUGGUAUUGUGCAGCGAAGUGUUUGUAUUGCAUGCCAAACAA